rnacentral:rRNA from 1 species
UACGUAGGGUGCAAGCGUUAAUCGGAAUUACUGGGCGUAAAGCGUGCGCAGGCGGCUUUGCAAGACAGAUGUGAAAUCCCCGGGCUUAACCUGGGGAACUGCAUUUGUGACUGCAUGGCUGGAGUGCGGCAGAGGGGGAUGGAAUUCCGCGUGUAGCAGUGAAAUGCGUAGAUAUGCGGAGGAACACCGAUGGCGAAGGCAAUCCCCUGGGCCUGCACUGACGCUCAUGCACGAAAGCGUGGGGAGCAAACAGGAUAGAACCCC